GAUGAACGCUAGCGGCAGGCUUAACACAUGCAAGUCGAGGGGUAUUGGUUUUCGGUCCAAGAGACCGGCGCACGGGUGCGUAACGCGUAUGCAAUCUACCUUUUGCAGAGGGAUAGCCCAGAGAAAUUUGGAUUAAUACCUCAUAGUAUAGUACUUUGGCAUCAAGGAACUAUUAAAGUCACAACGGCAAAAGAUGAGCAUGCGUCCCAUUAGCUAGUUGGUAAGGUAACGGCUUACCAAGGCUACGAUGGGUAGGGGUCCUGAGAGGGAGAUCCCCACACUGGUACUGAGACACGGACCAGACUCCUACGGGAGGCAGCAGUGAGGAAUAUUGGACAAUGGGCGGCAAGCCUGAUCAGCCAUGCCGCGUGCAGGAUGACGGUCCUAUGGAAUUGUAAACUAGCUUUUAUACAG
rnacentral:rRNA from 1 species